GAGGGAUUGGCCGGGUCUGGGUGAAGGGGAUCACGGCCUGGGGAUUGGAGGGGCACAUCUUCUCCGCACCGAGGAUCUCAGCGACUGCGAGCACGGCUCGGAGACCCACGGUGGUGCAGCGUUGGGGCGCCAGGGCUGCGUUCCCGUCUCGCGUCCCGGACUGAGAAGAGCCACUGACAAGACUUUAAGCAAGAGACGGAGAGUUAACAUCUAAUCUGGAGGAAGACCCUGGAAGGAGCCAGCCCCUUCCCCCAGGCUGACCUGGUUUAAGCCUUUCUUCUGCCAAGGUCACCAGCACCCCAGAUGGGUGAGAGAUGUGAUCACUGGUUUCGUGGCCUGACCAAGGACCUCCAAGAUGGAGUCUCUCGCUGUUGCCCAGGCUGGAGUGCAGUGGCUCGGUCUCAGCUCACUGCAACCUCCACCUCCCAGGUCCAAGCAAUUAUCCAGUCUCAGCCUCCUCAGUAGCUGGGACCACAGGUGCGUGCCACCACACCCAGCUCAUUUUUGUAUUUUUAGUAGAGACGGGGUUUUGCUAUGUUGACCAAGCUGGUCUCGAACUCCUGACCUCAAGUGAUCCGCCUGCCUCGGCCUCCCAAAGUGCUGGGAUUACAGGCAUGAGGCACCCCGUCCAGCCUGGAAGACUUUUUUUUUUAAUGAAUAAAAACACAUUUUUUUAAAGAAUGGAUUCCCUGAUUCCUCAAUGGCUGUCUCUUUCAAUUGAACAAUAAACCUUUACUUAGCAUCAGCUACAUGCCCAUCACUGUGCUUGGUCCUGCAGAUUCUGUGGCAGAUGAGAAAUGCCUUGGUCCUUGGGCUGCUUGCAGCCUAGCGAGGGACAGACUUUUAACCUCUCUAGGAGAGUGGCUGCUUCAAGUCAUCCUAUGGGACCAGCUGUUCAUGCUUCCUCUUGCCCAGAACUACUUCUGUGAGAGGAAAAGAGAAGGGUAGGAGCGUGCCCUGCAGCUGGAAACCCAAGCCAGGCGGGGAGCCACGAAUGCAGUAGUUAUCAGACUGUAUCUUCAAUCCUGGGGGCUUCUCAAGCCAUUGCCAGCCACUCUUCACCCAAGGCCUGGUGGAAUAAAGCUGGGCUAAGUAACACCUCUUCUGUGGAAAAUUAUUGUUUCUGCAAGCCUAUAUUCAUUCUCCCUCUCUCUCAUGCUGAUCAGAACUGUGAGUUACAAAAAAAAUGAGAAGAUGGAAUCAAUUAUUACGUAGUAAAUUUCAUUUGCUUGGCAGGAGGUAUCUUUCCCAUCUUGGCCCACAGAGGAGGAAAUCCUAGAAGGGAUGACUGAAGCUUGGGACUAACACAUUGGUGGAUCUGUGCUACCCCCUGCUGGCCGUAGACGGUAUGACAGCCAAGAUAGGGCAAGGCUUCGAGGGGCGAUGGAUGGAUUCACCGCAGCGGCGACAUUUCUGGACUGUUGUCACCUUCAGUGCAGUCACUGGGAAUAUUCAGAACCCAGGUGAUUGAUAAGGUUUUCCCAGGGAUCUCUUCUCUCCCCUUCACCAUUACUCAGUAGGAGCUUCCUUAAAAACGGAAAACGAGAGGCCGGGCGCGGUGGCUCACGCCUGUAAUCCCAGCACUUUGGGAGGCGGAGGCGGGCGGAUCACGAGGUCAGGAGAUCGAGACCAUCCUGGCUAACACAACCCCGUCUCUACUUAAAAUACAAAAAAUUAGCCGGGCGUGGUGGCACGCGCCUGUAGUUCCAGCUACUCAGGAGGCUGAGGCAGGAGAAUCGCUUGAACCCGGGAGGCAGAGGAGGUUGCAGUGAGCUGAGAUGGCGCCACUGCACUCCAGCCUGGCCGACUGAGACUCCAUCUCAAAAAAAAAAAAAAAAAAAGGAAAAAGGGGCCGGGCGCGGUGGCUCACGUCUAUAAUCCUAGCACUUUGGGAGACCAAGGCGGGCAGAUCACGAGGUCAGGAAUUUGAGACUAGUGUGGCCAACAUGGUGAAACCCCAUCUCUACUAAAAAUACAAAAAAUUAGCCGGGUGUGGUGGCGCAUGCCUGUAAUCCUAGCUACUCGGGAGGCCGAGGCAGGAGAAUCGCUUGAACCCAGGAGGCCGAGGUUGCAGUGAGCCGAGAUCACGCCAUUGCACUCCAGCCUGGGCGACAGAGCAAGACUCCGUCUUGAGGGAAAAAAAAAAAAAAAAGAAAAAGGGGCCAGGCACCUGUAAUCCCAGCACUUUGGGAGGCUGAGGAGGGAAGAUCGCUAAAACCCAGGAGUUCAAGACCAGCCUGGGCAACAUGGUGAGACCCCAUCUCUACAAAAAAUGCAAAAAAAAAAAAAACAAAAACAAAAAAAAAAACAGCUGGGCAUGAUGGUGCGCACCUGUAGUCCCAGCUACUCGGGAGGCUGAGGUGGGAGGAUUAUUUGAGCCUGAGAGGUCAAGGCUGCAGUGAGCCAAGAUCGCAUCACUGCACUCUAGCCUGGGUAACAGAGCAAGACCCUGCCUCAAAAAAAAAAAAAAAAAAGGAAAAAGGUUAUUACACAGUUCAAAAGAGAAACAAAGUGCAAAAGCAUGUGCAAAGAAAGUAAAGUCCCUCCUGGCCAAGUGCGAUGGCUCAAGCCUGUAAUCUCAACACCCUGGGAGGCUGAAGUGGGUAGAUCAUUUGAGGUCUGGAGUUUGAGACCAGCCUGGCCAACAUGGUGAAACCCCGUCUCUACUAAAAAUAUAAAAAUUAGCUUGGCGUAGUGGCGGGUGCCUGUAAUCCCAGGUACUCGGGAGGCUGAGGCAGGAGAAUCACUUGAACUUGGGAGGCGGAGGGUGCCGCGAGCCAAGAUCACGCCAGUGCACUCUAGCCUGGGCAACAGAGCAAGACUCCAUCUCGAAGGAAGGAAGGAAGGAAGGAAGGAAGGAAGGAAGGAAGGAAGGAAGGAAGGAAGGAAGGGGAAAGAAAGGAAAGAUCUCUUGCCAAUCAGCCUCCCUGUUGCCCUGUUUCCCAUUCCCUCCCCAGAGGCAACCACUCUUAACAGUUUUUUUGUUUUUGUUUUUGUUUUUUUUUAGACAGAGUCUCACUCUGUUGCCCAGGCGGCUGGAGUGCAGUGGUGUGAUCUCAGCUCACUGCGACCUCCGCUUCCCAGAUUCAAGCAAUUCUCCUGCCUCAGCCUCCUGAGUAGCUGGGACUACAGGUGUGUGCCACCACGUUCAGCUAAUUUUUGUAUUUUUAGUAGAGACGGGGUUUCACCAUGUUGGCCAGGCUGGUCUUGAACUCCUGACCUCAAGUGAUCCACCCGCCUUGGCCUCCCAAAGUGCUGGGAUUACAGGUGUGAGCCACCGCGCCUGGCCUCUUAACAGUUCUAAUGUAUCUUUGCAGAGCUAUUUGGAGCAUAUGCUGUGUAUAUGUGCGUGUGUGUGUGACACAAAUGAUAGCACACGCUCUACACUGUUCAGCACCUGCUAUUUUCAUGUCAUAAUAUACCUGCCUGUAGAUAGUCAACAUAGUUUUCCAUCGUAUGGUGUGUCACAAUUUAUUUACCAUUCCCCUCCUAGUGGAUAUUUAUGUAUGUCCGCCUUUUAUUACUACAAACAAUGCUAAUUACAGGAAAUAUCUUGGUACAUAUAUUUGCAGACAUAUGUGUGUGUGUGAAAUAAAUUUAUAAGUAUGGCAAUUCUGGGUCAAAGAUUAUGUGCUCUUAAAUGUUUUAUAGGUUUUCACAGAAUUGCCCUCCAAAAAUUUUGUACCAAUUUACAAUCCCCAACAACGGAUGAGAUCACCUGUUUCCCCAAAUCCUCACAAACAGGUUAAUAUCAGGCCUUUUGAUCUUAGGUGAUGACUCUUUAAAAGUCCUGCUCACAGAGCAGUUGAUGAUCUGUCUUUUUCUUUGGGCCGCGGGUUUCUCCAAGGAAGGGACUGUGUCUUUCUCAUACCUACAUCCCCAGUGAAGGACUUGACACCAUCCUUGGGAGUUACUCAAGAAGUGUCUGCUAAAUAUUGAGUGAAAGAAACAGAGCUGCAUUUUGGCAGGCUGGGAGGGAGAGGGUAAAAGGUUAGGUUUGAACAGGAGGCCUGCUUUUUUUUUUUUUUUUUGAGAUGGAGUCUCACUCUGUUGCCCAGGCUGGAGUGCAGUGGCGCGAUCUCAGCUCACUGCAACCUCCAAGGAGGACUGCUCUUUAGGGCCACUUUCUCUUCCAGACCCUGGUCAAGCCUCUGCCCCAAAUCCAAAAGCCUUCCUCUUGCAGGAGCCUCCCAGGUUGCAAGGUCUGAGGUUGAAGGCCCAGAACUCCCAGUGCAGCUUUCACCCAGCUCUGCUGCAUUCCAGGGAUGGGCCCCAUCAUCCCCAAGCUGCCUGAGAACUGGAAACAAACUAGGUGUCCAGCUUUAGGGGAUCAGUUAAACCACUGUCCUAUAGAACUUUCUGCAAUGAUGAAAAUGUUCUCUAUCUGCCCUGUCCAAUAUGGCAGCCACUGGCCACUCGUAGCUACCGAGUAUUCAAGCUGUAGCUAGUUCAACUAAGGAAAUAAAUAAAUGUUACUUAAUUUUAAUUAAUUUCCAUUUAAGUAGCCAUGUGUGGCUACAUAUUGGACAGUGAAGGGUUCAGUAAAUUAUGAUAUAGCCCCACAAUGGAAAACUAUGCAGCUGUAAAAAAAAAAAAUAAUAAGGAUGCCAAGAAAAAUGGAAAGAUCUUCAGGAUAUAUUUUGAAACAAAAAUGUGGUACAGGCUGUGUGCAGUGGCUCACGCCAAUAAUCCCAGCACUUUGGGAGGCCAAGGUGAGAGGCCGAGGCAGGAGGAUCACUUGAGUCCAGGGGUUCAAGACCAGCCUGGUCAACAUAAUGAGACUUCCGUCUCUACAGAAAGUGAAAAAAAAAAAAAAGACAGCAUGGUGGUAUAUGAAUGUAGUCCCAUCUACUCAGGAAGCUGAGGUGGGAGGAUUGCUUGAGCCAGGGAAGUUGAGGCUGCAGUAAGCUGUGAUUGUGCCACCACACUCCAGCCUGUGUGACAGAGCAAGACCCCAUCUAAAAAAAAAAAAAAAGGCCAGGCACGAUGGCUCACACAUGUAAUCCCAGCACUUUGGGAGGCCGAGGACCGUGGAUCACCUGAGGUUGGGAGCUCAAGACCAGCCUGACCAACAUAGAGAAACCUCAUCUCUACUAAAAACACAAAAUUAGCUGGGUGUGGUGGCACAUGCCUAUAAUCCCAGCUACUCAGAAGACUGAGGCAGAAGAACCACUUGAACCCAGGAGGCGGAGGUUGCGGUGAGCCAAGAUAGUGCCAUUGCACUUCAGCCUGGGUAACAAGAGCGAAACUCUGUCUCAAAAAAAAAAAUGUGGUUCAGAACAGUAUACAUAGUAUGUCAUCUUUUUUGAAAGAAAGGCAGGUAGGCCGGGCGCAGUGGCUCACACCUGUAAUCCCAGCACUUUGGGAGGCCGAGGUGGGCGGAUCACGAGGUCAGGAGAUUGAGACCAUCCUGGCUAACGCGGUGAAACCCUGUCUCUACUAAAAAUACAAAAAAUUAGCCGGGCGUAGGUGGUGCACUCCUGUAGUCCCAGCUACUCGGGAGGCUGAGGCAGGAGAAUGGCGUAAAACCCGGGAGGCUGAGCUUGCAGUGAGCCAAGAUCGCGCCACUGUACUUCAGCCUGGGAGACAGAGCGAGAUUCCGUCUCAAAAAAUAAAAAAAAAAGAAAAAGAAAGGCAGGUAGAGGAGGCUGGAUGUGGUGGCUCAUGCCUGUAAUACCAGCACUUUGGGAGGCCAAGGGGGACAGAUCACUUGCAGAAAUGUGAGACCGGCCUGGACAACAUGGUGAAACCCCAUCUCUACACAAAAUACAAAAAUUAGUUGGACGUGGUAGUGCGCACCUGUAGUCCCAGCUACUCAGGAGGCUAAAGUGGGAGGGUUGCUUGAGCUGGGGAAGUCAAGGCUGCAGUGAGCCAAGAUUGCACCACUGCACUCCAGCAGGGGUGACAGAGGGAGACAGCAGGAGUGACAGAGUGAGACCCUGUCUCAAAAAAAAAAAGAAAAGAGCUUUGCACAGUGGUAGUAUCGUAGCCAAUGAAUGAAAGGGAGGUGGAAAUAAAAAUAAAUGUUUAUAUUUGCUUGAAUUUGCAUAGGGAAAGCAAUAACAGUGGGUGACCUAUAGGGAGCUGGGGAAUCCUGUUGCGGGGGUAGGCAAGGACAGGGUGGGAACAGAGCUUUCCAGUGAAUUUCUUUAUAUUUCAUUUUGGUUGUUGAAACAUGUACAUAUAUUACCUAUUCAAAAAGUUAAAUUAAGGUCAGGUGCAGUGGCUCAUGCCCGUAAUCCCAGUACUUUGGGAGGUUGAGGUAGGAGGAUCACUUUACCCCAGGAGUUGGAGACCAGCCUGGGCAAUAUAGUGAGACCUCCUUUCUACAAAAAGUUUACAAAUUAGCCAUAAGCCAG
rnacentral:lncRNA from 1 species